rnacentral:rRNA from 1 species
AUACGGAGGGUGCGAGCGUUAAUCGGAAUUACUGGGCGUAAAGCGUGCGUAGGCGGCAUGGUCAGUCGGAUGUGAAAGCCCAGGGCUUAACCUUGGAAUUGCAUUCGAUACUGCCAAGCUAGAGUAUGUUAGAGGAAAGUGGAAUUCCCGGUGUAGCGGUGAAAUGCGUAGAUAUCGGGAGGAACAUCAGUGGCGAAGGAGACUUUCUGGAUCAAUACUGACGCUGAGGUACGAAAGCGUGGGGAGCAAACAGGAUUAGAUACCCUAGUAGUCC